rnacentral:rRNA from 1 species
CUACCCUUCUUGGUCAUUUAGAGGAAGUAAAAGUCGUAACAAGGUUUCCUAGGUGAACCUGCGGAAGGAUCAUUAAAAAAAGAGAAACGUCCCGUUUUUUCCAUAAGAAUGGGUUCUAUUCCCUUAAACCGUGUCUACAUACCUUUGUGCUUUGGCAGGCCGCCUUCGGGCGUCGGCUCCGGCUGAUAGUGCCUGCAGAGGACCCAAACUCUAUGUUUAGUGAUGUCUGAGUACUAUAUAAUAUUAAAACUUUCAACAACGGAUCUCUUGGUUCUGGCAUCGAUGAAGAACGCACGAAAUGCGAUAAGUAAUGUGAAUUGCAGAAUUCAGUGAAUCAUCGAAUUUUGAACGCACAUUGCGCCCCUUGGUAUUCCGAGGGGCAUGCCUGUUCGGCGUCAUUAUAACCACUCAAGCCUGGCUUGGUAUUGGGGUUUUUCGCGUUUCGCGGCCCUUAAAAUCAGUGGCGGUGCCGUCUGGCUCUAAGCGUAGUAUUUCUCUCGCUAUAGGGUUCCGGUGGUUACUUGCCAAAACCCCCCAUUUUCCUAGGUUGACCUCGGAUCAGGUAGGGAUACCCGCUGAACUUAAGCAAUCAAUAAGCGGAGGA